rnacentral:tRNA from 1 species
GUUGAGAUGGCCGAGUUGGUCAGGUGCCAGAUUAAGGUUCUGGUCCAAAAGGGCGUGGGUUCAAAUCCCACUCUCAACA